rnacentral:rRNA from 1 species
AUACGGAGGGUGCAAGCGUUAUCCGGAAUCAUUGGGUUUAAAGGGUCCGUAGGCGGAUAAUUAAGUCAGGGGUGAAAUCCCACAGCUCAACUGUGGCACUGCCUUUGAUACUGGUUAUCUUGAGUUAUAGGGAAGUAGAUAGAAUAUGUAGUGUAGCGGUGAAAUGCAUAGAUAUUACAUAGAAUACCGAUUGCGAAGGCAGUCUACUAUCUGUAUACUGACGCUAAGGGACGAAAGCGUGGGGAGCGAACAGAAUUAGAAACCCUAGUAGUCC